rnacentral:tRNA from 1 species
GAGGACUUAGCUUAAUUAAAGUGAUUGAUUUGCAUUCAGUUGAUGUAAGAUAUAGUCUUGCAGUCCUUA